rnacentral:rRNA from 1 species
UGAGGGAAAGGCGAAAAGAACCCCGGAAGGGGAGUGAAAUAGAUCCUGAAACCGUAUGCAUACAAACAGUAGGAGCCUCCUUGUGGGGUGACUGCGUACCUUUUGUAUAAUGGGUCAGCGACUUACAUUCAGUGGCAAGGUUAACCGAAUAGGGAAGCCGUAGCGAAAGCGAGUCCGAAUAGGGCGAUUCAGUCGCUGGGUGUAGACCCGAAACCAGAUGAUCUAUCCAUGGCCAGGUUG